AGCGAACGCUGGCGGCAGGCCUAACACAUGCAAGUCGAACGAACCCUUCGGGGUUAGUGGCGGACGGGUGAGUAACACGUGGGAACGUGCCUUUAGGUUCGGAAUAACUCAGGGAAACUUGUGCUAAUACCGAAUGUGCCCUUCGGGGGAAAGAUUUAUCGCCUUUAGAGCGGCCCGCGUCUGAUUAGCUAGUUGGUGAGGUAAUGGCUCACCAAGGCUACGAUCAGUAGCUGGUCAGAGAGGAUGACCAGCCACAUUGGGACUGGGACACGGCCCAAACUCCUACGGGGGGCAGCAGUGGGGAAUCUUGCGCAAUGGGCGAAAGCCUGACGCAGCCAUGCCGCGUGGAUGAUGGAGGUCUUAGGAUUGUAAAAUCCUUUCACCGGUGAAGAUAAUGACUGUAGCCGGAGAAGAAGCCCCGGCUAACUUCGUGCCAGCCGCCGCGGUAACAC
rnacentral:rRNA from 1 species